UGGUCACAACACACUGAAACACCAGUUCCCAUAUGAUCACCAAAAUUAAGCAAUGUCAAGCCUGGUCAGUACCUAGAGGGGUGACUGCUUGGGAAUACCAGGUGCUGUAG
rnacentral:rRNA from 1 species